GAGGAGGAGAGGGAGAGCCGGGAGGCCGCUCUGUCCUGCUUGUCUUUCUCAGCUUUUGCUUUGUGCGAUCAGGGGAGGAACCCCACGCAGGGGAACGGUUAGUGGCUUUGGGGUCUCUUUGGUGGCCCUGUUUGAAGGAGGAGGCAGGCCAAGGGUGCAGGGUCAGGCCCAGGGGCAGAAAGGGAUGAGGCGAUGACCACAGUCGGGGAUCCAGGCCCGGCAAGCGGCAGAGGUGCCGGAGAGGACCAGCCGCCGGGCAGAGAUCGAAGCAGAAAAACAUUUAUGGCCGCGCGCCCGAAAGCGGGGAGCAAGGCCGGGGCUCUGGUAGCCCUGGGAAGGUUGCCUUCCUGAGGUCUUUAAAAAAGAGGAGAGAGAGCGAGAGAGAGAGAGAAGGGAGGGGUUGGGGCGCCUUGAAUUUUCCUUCCCGGGCUUGGAGCGCAGCGCAUUUCUGUAAAGGAAGAGAAGAGCACCGUCCUGGAUCUUUCCACGUCCGCCUCAUUCUAUCCAGGCCUCUCCCCUUGCCCGAGCUCUCAGCCGCCACCAGGAGACUGACACGGAAGGGGCUUCUGGGCCGCCCCCCACCAACUCCUGCCUGGUUUCCCAAACUUCAGCGACCUCCAGCCCUCUUUGGGUGGAAAAUAGCAGGGCCCAGGCACCUCUUCUUCUUGUCAUUUGUGACCCGUGCUCUCAUCAGGAAUAUCUUACAAAGAAGGAGAGGAAGAAAGUGGAAAAGAAUCCUGUGCACGCAGGCAUCUCCUACUUUUUCCCCACUACGCGCCCCGUCUGGAGAUGCGGCUGAAACUCUGAUUAUUUCCCCCCAUUACAUGGAUGAGGAAGUGGAGGCCUCUCGCUGGGGAAGUGAUUUGUUUAAGGCAACUAGGAGCAGAGAGCUCUGACAAGAAUUCCGGCAGUCCGACUCCCACCCAGGGUUCUUCUCAUUGGACCGUGCAUAAACAUGAACCUCAUGCAGCCAUAAAAUAGAGAAUUUGUGAAUAAAUACCUAUCCGAUUAAUGAAAUUACCGAGGC
rnacentral:lncRNA from 1 species